rnacentral:tRNA from 1 species
GGGGGCGUGGCGAAAUGGCAAACGCGGCGGUCUGUCAAACCGCUGUCAUCCCAGGUGACUUACAGGUUCGAUUCCUGUCGCCCCUACCA